rnacentral:rRNA from 1 species
AUUGAACGCUGGCGGCAGGCCUAACACAUGCAAGUCGAACGAGUGGCGGACGGGUGAGUAAUGUCUGGGAAACUGCCUGAUGGAGGGGGAUAACUACUGGAAACGGUAGCUAAUACCGCAUACCAUCGGAUGUGCCCAGAUGGGAUUAGCUAGUUGGUGGGGUAACGGCUCACCUAGGCGACGAUCCCUAGCUGGUCUGAGAGGAUGACCAGCAACACUGGAACUGAGACACGGUCCAGACUCCUACGGGAGGAAGCAGUGGGGAAUAUUGGACAAUGGGCGAAAGCCUGAUGCAGCCAUGCCGCGUGUGUGAAGAAGGCCUUCGGGUUGUAAAGUACUUUAAGCGGGGAGGCGUUACCCGAAGAAGAAGCACCGGCUAACUCCGUGCCAGCCGCCGCGGUAAUAC